GACGAACGCUGGCGGCGUGCUUAACACAUGCAAGUCGUACGGUAAGGCCCUUUCGGGGGUACACGAGUGGCGAACGGGUGAGUAACACGUGAGUAACCUGCCCACAACUUUGGGAUAACGCUAGGAAACUGGUGCUAAUACUGGAUAUGUGCUCCUGCUGCAUGGUGGGGGUUGGAAAGCUCCGGCGGUUGUGGAUGGACUCGCGGCCUAUCAGCUUGUUGGUGGGGUAGCGGCCUACCAAGGCGGCGACGGGUAGCCGGCCUGAGAGGGUGACCGGCCACAUUGGGACUGAGAUACGGCCCAGACUCCUACGGGAGGCAGCAGUGGGGAAUAUUGCACAAUGGGCGCAAGCCUGAUGCAGCAACGCCGCGUGCGGGAUGACGGCCUUCGGGUUGUAAACCGCUUUCAGCAGGGACGAAGCUUUUUGUGACGGUACCUGCAGAAGAAGCACCGGCUAACUACGUG
rnacentral:rRNA from 1 species